UACAGAGGUCUCAAGCGUUGUUCGGAUUCAUUGGGCGUAAAGGGUGCGUAGGUGGCGUCGUAAGUCGGGUGUGAAAUUUCGGAGCUUAACUCCGAAACUGCAUUCGAUACUGCGGUGCUUGAGGACUGGAGAGGAGACUGGAAUUUACGGUGUAGCGGUGAAAUGCGUAGAUAUCGUAAGGAAGACCAGUGGCGAAGGCGGGUCUCUGGACAGUUCCUGACGCUGAAGCACGAAGGCCAGGGGAGCAAACGGG
rnacentral:rRNA from 1 species